GGGGACGUGGCUCAGUGGUAGAGCACUUGCCUGGCAUGUAUGAGGCACAGGUUCGAUUCUCAACACCG
rnacentral:tRNA from 1 species